UGGACGCCAGUCUGCAUGGAGCCGGCCUUGAAAUACCACCCUUUAAUGUUUGAUGUUCUAACGUGGACCCGUGAUCCGGGUUGCGGACAGUGUCUGGUGGGUAGUUUGACUGGGGCGGUCUCCUCCUAAAGAGUAACGGAGGAGCACGAAGGUUGGCUAAUCCUGGUCGGACAUCAGGAGGUUAGUGCAAUGGCAUAAGCCAGCUUGACUGCGAGCGUGACGGCGCGAGCAGGUGCGAAAGCAGGUCAUAGUGAUCCGGUGGUUCUGAAUGGAAGGGCCAUCGCUCAACGGAUAAAAGGUACUCCGGGGAUAACAGGCUGAUACCGCCCAAGAGUUCAUAUCGACGGCGGUGUUUGGCACCUCGAUGUCGGCUCAUCACAUCCUGGGGCUGAAGUAGGUCCCAAGGGUAUGGCUGUUCGCCAUUUAAAGUGGUACGCGAGCUGGGUUUAGAACGUCGUGAGACAGUUCGGUCCCUAUCUGCCGUGGGCGCUGGAGAACUGAGGGGGGCUGCUCCUAGUACGAGAGGACCGGAGUGGACGCAUCACUGGUGUUCGGGUUGUCAUGCCAAUGGCACUGCCCGGUAGCUAAAUGCGGAAGAGAUAAGUGCUGAAAGCAUCUAAGCACGAAACUUGCCCCGAGAUGAGUUCUCCCUGACCCUUUAAGGGUCCUGAAGGAACGUUGAAGACGACGACGUUGAUAGGCCGGGUGUGUAAGCGCAGCGAUGCGUUGAGCUAACCGGUACUAAUGAACCGUGAGG
rnacentral:rRNA from 1 species